rnacentral:SRP_RNA from 1 species
GCCAGGCAUGGUGGCUUAUGCCUGUAAUCCCAGCUCUUUGGGAGGCUGAGGCAGGAGGAUCAGUUGAGCCCAGGAGUUCAGAACCAGCCUGGGCAAUAUAGUGAGAUCCUGUCUCUG